GACGAACGCUGGCGGCGUGCUUAACACAUGCAAGUCGAGCGGUAAGGCCCUUUCGGGGGUACACGAGCGGCGAACGGGUGAGUAACACGUGGGUGACCUGCCCUUAGCUCUGGGAUAAGCCUGGGGAAACUGGGUCUAAUACCGGAUAUGACUCCACGACGCAUGUUGUGGGGUGGAAAGCCUUGUGCGGCUAGGGAUGGGCCUGCGGCCUAUCAGCUUGUUGGUGGGGUGAUGGCCACCAAGGCGACGACGGGUAGCCGGCCUGAGAGGGCGACCGGCCACACUGGGACUGAGACACGGCCCAGACUCCUACGGGAGGCAGCAGUGGGGAAUCUUGCGCAAUGGGCGAAAGCCUGACGCAGCGACGCCGCGUGGGGAUGACGGCCU
rnacentral:rRNA from 1 species